UAGAAAAGCCUGGAAAAGUGAACGAGAUGAGAGAGUACAUGGGUAAAAUCUUGAAAGAAAAGUCAGAUGGGCUUCCAGGUGCACUUCGAGAGUGUGAAUUUGCAAAAUUUCCUUACGAGAAGUAUGAAGAUUACUUGAAUGAAUUGUGCAAAGAACAAAAAUAUGCUGAUGUACAGGAAAUCAAUCAAUGUGUCGCUGAAACAUUUGCAGCAGUUCAAAAGGAUCCAGAAUCUACACUCUCUGAAAUGAUCGCUAACUGUUCCUAAACACAUGAUGUUGCCUACACGCUUUUGGAAGAAGAUGAACUGACAAUGAGGAGAGAUUCUACACUUGAUAAUGUCAUCAUGGUUCCAUCUAUUCCUGUGGGAAAUCUGUGGAGAGGCAAGAGGCCUUAUUUGUGUCAGAGAGGGUCAUACAUCUCCCGCUAACAAAAUCACUUCCCUUUGAGAUUAGUGUCACAUUUCUCCUUUCUGCUAUAAAUCCUCAGUGUCCAC